rnacentral:rRNA from 1 species
CCAAGGAGUCUAACGCGCGCGCGAGUCACAGGGCUCGCACGAAACCCAAGGGCGCAACGAAAGUGAGGGAGGUCUCCGGCCAUCCCAGGCAGGAUCCACGGCUUUAACCGUUCGCGGGGCCGAGGCGCACUGCCGGCCCGUCUCGUCGGCGUCGUCCGUGAGGCGGAGCAAGAGCGCGCGCGUUGGGACCCGAAAGAUGGUGAACUAUGCCUGAGCAGGACGAAGUCAGAGGAAACUCUGAUGGAGGUCCGUAGCGAUUCUGACGUGCAAAUCGAUCGUCGGACUUGGGUAUAGGGGCGAAAGACUAAUCGAACCAUCUA